UAGAAUUCCGGGAAGGCCCAGCCCAUCUCAUUUCAUGUCUCCCUCCAGCCUUUUCCGGUGAUUUGUCACUGCCUGGUGCCUGAGUGAAAGCAGGUUUCAGAAGUGAGCAUCACAGGGAGAAAGAAGAGCUGUGGUCCCCAGGAGUCCUGAACAAGGCAUUUGGGAGCAGUGGGUAGACAUGUGUGACUCCUGGGAACAGAUGGCAUGGCGGCCGGACACUAUAGAGGAGGAAGAGCUGAUAACCAGUGGGACCACUUUCCACCACAGACUUUGGAUUCAACAAUUCAGUUUCUAGAACUUUACAGGUACAACGGGGUUAGGGCACGGAGUAGGUACAACCACUGCCAGACUCUUGAGUCCUGGGAGGUUCCUGGGGACAGGCUUAGGCAGGAACACAAGUGUGCUGGAAUCAGCCCUCCUUCUCUCUCUCAGGAUGUCUGGGCCACAGUCAGGCUUCCUUGGGGCUGCUUCUUUUCCCUCUCGUGCUCUUCACUGGGCUUCUGGUGGCCAUCCUCGUCCAAGGUCAGGUACAGAUGCCCAAGGUCAAGGACUCCCAGGGUGCAGAUGUUACCUGGGUGGGGGGCUAGUUCCCAGAAAGAGAUAAGGCUGAAAGCCAAGAUUUGGGUCCUCCAGGUUUUCCUGGUCAGCUGCCCUGCUUGGUGGCCUCUCCCACAGUCCCUCCCCACUCUGCUGCAGGGGAGGAGGGGGAGGGGGAGGAAUAAGAGGACUCCUGGCUCUUGAUCUCUGGUGCAGAUUUCAUCCACCAUCUUCCCCAUCUUCAGAAAGGAUUAACCAAGAUCUUGACUGAGCAACAAUGUCCCCAAGGGCCUUGUGCAGGGCACGUACACAGCAGAUGUUUAAUAACCACAGAUUUUUUUUUGGCACAAUCUUCAGGGUCCCAGGUCCCAGGAGCUAGAGCCUUUGAAGCAGGAGAUCCAUGAAGAACUGACCCAGCUGAAGGCUGGACUUGGUGACCGGCCAGGCACCAGGGUCCUGGGGGUUCUGGAAGGGUCUCUGGUGUGCUGUGGGUGUGGUGGGACUCUGCUUGAGUAACCGUCCCUCACUCAGCUAGGAACACAGAGUGACAAGGAUGGUUCCCCUUGGUAUUCCCAGGGGCACACAGUAGGCACUAAAUUAAACCAGUCUCUUAUUCUGAGCUCCCUACUUCUCCCAGUCUGGAGGAUAUGGGACCGGGACUCCUAGUUCUCCUGGGCCUGGGGGAGGGUAGCAAGUGGGGGAGGGGGGCGAGCCGUUGGGCAUGGAGAACCAAGGAGGGCCCCCUCCCCGACCCUCAGGGGAUUGAAGAGUGGGCAGACCUGGGGUUAGGGGCAUCAAGCUGAGUCCCAGCCCUGCCACCUGCCCCAUCCCUGGGAGCGGACAUUCUUCUGAGGCAACUGUUACUCCUUCAGCUCCCAACAGAACUAACACGACUCUGUCACUGCCUGCCAGGAAGUGGGGGCCCGACUCGUCGUUACCGAAAGUGCCGGGAAGCAGAUGCAUCUGUCCAGGGAGUCAGCCUGACCUGGGGCAUGCCCCUGGCCACUGGUCCACUGGGCACAAGAGAGCCAGAUGAGAUUUUCUGGAAGAGAGACUGCCUGCUUCACUUGGGGGGGCGGGGGAGGAUAAGAACCAGGCAUCCUGCAAGGAGGUACAAAUGAGAUCUGGACACCUGGGUCUGGGGGACACGUAAAACAUAAAUAAGCUCCGGUGGUGUCCUGACAAAUGGCUAACACUUAGCUCUCUGGAGGGAGCGGGGGAUAAGUCCUGAUUUGGAGUGUUGGCCAGUUUCCCUGGCGUACGUACUGCCACUGUGGCUGAUCUCAAGCCAUUCACGUGAUGCCGUCACUGCGGAGCUGACAAGAUACACGGUGGGGACCUGGCUUGAUUUGACUCCAGCACGUCAAACCCAGGCAUGAGUCAACUCAUGGGUAUAUGCUUGGCACAUGUAAGAGCACACAAACAUGCAGUAUUACCAGGUGUGUGUGCUGAGAGACCAGUUGUGUGCAUGUGUCUGCAAGUCGGAACAUACGUGCUCAUAGGAUACAGAUGUGAGAGGCGCUCAGGACCUGGCCUGGCAGGAAGCGUAAGGUCCCACUGAAAGACGAGCUUGCUGCCAGGCAACUGGAGAGAUGCUGAGCCCAGAAAGUGGGGUCAGAGCCCCCUCCUGACUUCCCUACGUCCACCAGAACUUCCUACAGCUGCAGACUUCCAAGAGAAGCUGCUUCACCUGGGAGACUGGGUGGCUCAGUUGGUUAAGCGGCUGCCUUCGGCUCAGGUCAUGGUCCUGGGGUCCUGGGAUUGAGUCCCACGUCAGGCUCCCUGCUCAGCGAGGAGUCCACUUCUCUCUCUGCCUCUCUCCCCACUUGUGCUCUCUCUCUCUCUAAUAAAUAAAUAAAAUCUUAAAAAAGGAAGGGAAAAAAUCACUUCACCUGCACGGGGCUCUCAGACAUGGAACAUGAAGGCAGAGGGCACUGGGUGGAUGAUUCACCCCUGCUGCCCAGGUGAGUCUUAGGAGAAGGAAACACUCUAUCAAGUGGGAGUGGGAUUCUGAAACCCUUACAUGGGUGUUUACCUGGGUACCCCCCCCCCUCCAUUCCCUGGCCCCUAGGCUGGAGAGUCUGGGAUUCUUUUUUUAAAGAUCCAUACUCAGGCGAUGGUGGCCCUAAGUAUGAGAGCCUGAUAAGGGAGGUAGUUGGGGGUGCGGGCUCUGGAUUGGUUGUUGUGUACUUGAAAUGCAUACCCCAGGGAGGAGGGCUCCUCCAAGAACUGGAGGGGCACAACAAUCAGGGAGACAGGAGACCCCGGCAAGGAGACUCAGGCACUCAUCGGGUUGUCCAGAAU
rnacentral:lncRNA from 1 species